rnacentral:rRNA from 1 species
AGUGUAGGCGGUUUGGCAAGUCGGAUGUGAAAGCCCAGGGCCCAACCCUGGAAUUGCAUCCGAUACUGCUAGGCUAGAGUUCCGGAGAGGGUGGCGGAAUUCCCGGUGUAGGGGUGAAAUCCGUAGAUAUCGGGAGGAACACCAGUGGCGAAGGCGGCCACCUGGACGGUGACUGACGCUGAGACUCGAAAGCGUGGGUAGCAAACA